rnacentral:rRNA from 1 species
GACGAACGCUGGCGGCGUGCUUAACACAUACAAGUCGAGCGGUAAGGCCCUUUCGGGGGUACACGAGCGGCGAACGGGUGAGUAACACGUGGGUGACCUGCCCUCAGCUCUGGGAUAAGCCCGGGAAACUGGGUCUAAUACCGGAUAUGACUCCAUGACGCAUGUUGUGGGGUGGAAAGCCUUGUGCGGCUGAGGAUGGGCCCGCGGCCUAUCAGCUUGUUGGUGGGGUGAUGGCCUACCAAGGCGACGACGGGUAGCCGGCCUGAGAGGGCGACCGGCCACACUGGGACUGAGACACGGCCCAGACUCCUACGGGAGGCAGCAGUGGGGAAUCUUGCGCAAUGGGCGAAAGCCUGACGCAGCGACGCCGCGUGAGGGAUGACGGCCU